UUUCCAGUGAGUGCAGCUGUGUGUGUGUGGGGUAGGGGGGUAAUGGGAUGUGGAGGUAGCACCACGUAAGAGCAGCGAGGGGCUGGCAGCGGGCCCUGCACCCAGCAGCUGUGUCACAGCACCGUGCUGCUGCCAGCACAUGCCUGGGGUCUGUGGGUUGCAGAGGGCCAUGGCAGGAGGGGCCGGCUGCCCCACACUGCUGCCCCACAUUGCUGCACUGCUGCCCCACCACUCACCUCAGCUGCUGCGUGUGGGAGCGACUGACGGUGCUUUGCUGCCAUGCUGUGAAUUGAAGGCAUUUGGUGCUCUGCACUGCAUCCAGCACAUUCCCUUUGCUUUGUCACCAGGCAACCAACCGCAGGCAGUGAACCAGUACGGGCAUCCUUCGCACUUCUGACUCAAAAGGUGGGAAGGAGGCGGCGCGUUCCGUUUGCACUGAAGAACAGAACAUUCAAAAUCCAAUGCACUACUUACUGCUAGAAAGCAAACCUUCGUUUCCUUCUCUGAUUAUUUCAGUAAUUAUUUUUUGUGCUGCAGUUGAUGGAUUUACUUACCCCUGGUGGGAGUGUACCGCUCUUCAUAGUAGUUAAAGCAGUCACAGACACUGAUGGGUGAGACUGGUGUAACCUGUGUGGUCACUCCAUCCAUCUGCUGAAGGAAGCACACAGCAAACCAUGUGCAGCUGAUGCUCAGAAAUGGUCACGUCAGCUGAGUAUAAAGUCUUAAGUGAACAAAUAAGUGAAAUAAAUCCCCAACUCAAUCAUUAUGUGGUUAAAUGA